AUACGGAGGGAGCUAGCGUUGUUCGGAAUUACUGGGCGUAAAGCGCACGUAGGCGGCUUUGUAAGUCAGAGGUGAAAGCCUGGAGCUCAACUCCAGAACUGCCUUUGAGACUGCAUCGCUUGAAUCCAGGAGAGGUGAGUGGAAUUCCGAGUGUAGAGGUGAAAUUCGUAGAUAUUCGGAAGAACACCAGUGGCGAAGGCGGCUCACUGGACUGGUAUUGACGCUGAAGUGCGAAAGCGUGGGGAGC
rnacentral:rRNA from 1 species